AACGAACGCUGGCGGCAGGCUUAACACAUGCAAGUCGAGCGCAUCCUUCGGGGUGAGCGGCGGGCGGGUGAGUAACGCGGGGGAACGUGCCCUCUUCUACGGAAUAGCCCAGGGAAACUUGGAUUAAUGCCGUAUACGCCCUUCGGGGGAAAGAUUUAUCGGAGGAGGAUCGGCCCGCGUUGGAUUAGGUAGUUGGUGGGGUAACGGCUCACCAAGCCGACGAUCCAUAGCUGGUUUGAGAGGAUGAUCAGCCACACUGGGACUGAGACACGGCCCAGACUCCUACGGGAGGCAGCAGUGGGGAAUCUUGGACAAUGGGGGAGACCCUGAUCCAGCCAUGCCGCGUGAUCGAUGAAGGCCUUAGGGUUGAAAAGAUCUUUCAGCUGGGAAGAUAAUGACUGUACCAGCAGAAGAAGCCCCGGCUAACUUCGUGCCAGCAGCCGCCGUAAGAC
rnacentral:rRNA from 1 species